GAUGAACGCUGGCGGCGUGCCUAAUACAUGCAAGUCGAACGAAACUUCUUUAUCACCGAGUGCUUGCACUCGCCGAUAAAGAGUUGAGUGGCGAACGGGUGAGUAACACGUGGGCAACCUGCCCAAAAGAGGGGGAUAACACUUGGAAACAGGUGCUAAUACCGCAUAACCAUAGUUACCGCAUGGUAACUAUGUAAAAGGUGGCUAUACUACCGCUUUUGGAUGGGCCCGCGGCGCAUUAGCUAGUUGGUAGGGUAAAGGCUUACCAAGGCAAUGAUGCGUAGCCGAAUUGAGAGGUUGAUCGGCCACAUUGGGACUGAGACACGGCCCAAACUCCUACGGGAGGCAGCAGUAGGGAAUCUUCCACAAUGGGCGAAAGCCUGAUGGAGCAACGCCGCGUGGGUGAAGAAGGUCUUCGGAUCGUAAAACCCUGUUGUUAGAGAAGAAAGUGCGUGAGAGUAACUGUUCACGUUUCGACGGUAUCUAACCAGAAAGCCACGGCUAACUACGUG
rnacentral:rRNA from 1 species